AGAGAGAACUGCUAAGGUCCACAACGUCGACAAUUGAAAGCUUUGCUGCACAAGAAAAACAAAUGGAAGUUUGUGAAGUAUGUGGAGCCUUUUUAAUAGUAGGAGAUGCCCAGUCCCGGGUAGAUGACCAUUUGAUGGGAAAACAACACAUGGGCUAUGCCAAAAUUAAAGCUACUGUAGAAGAAUUAAAAGUAAUUAAGGAAAAGAACCGAAGAACCUGAUCGUGAUGAGCGUCUAAAAAAGGAGAAGCAAGAAAGAGAAGAAAGAGAAAAAGAACGGGAGAGAGAAAGGGAAGAAAGAGAAAGGAAAAGACGAAGGGAAGAGGAAGAAAGAGAAAAAGAAAGGGCUCGUGACAGAGAAAGAAGAAAGAGAAGUCGUUCACGAAGUAGACACUCAAGCCGAACAUCAGACAGAAGAUGCAGCAGGUCUCGGGACCACAAAAGGUCACGAAGUAGAGAAAGAAGGCGGAGCAGAAGUAGAGAUCGACGAAGAAGCAGAAGCCAUGAUCGAUCAGAAAGAAAACACAGAUCUCGAAGUCGGGAUCGAAGAAGAUCAAAAAGCCGGGAUCGAAAGUCAUAUAAGCACAGGAGCAAA
rnacentral:lncRNA from 10 species